UACGUAGGGAGCGAGCGUUAUCCGGAAUUAUUGGGCGUAAAGGGUGCGUAGAUGGCAAUAAAAGUUUCUUGUUAAGGAUCUAAGCUCAACUUAGUAAAGCAAGGGAUACUAUAUAGCUAGAGUAUGGAAGAGGCAAGUGGAACUCCAUGUGUAGCGGUAAAAUGCGUAAAUAUAUGGAAGAACACCAGUGGCGAAGGCGGCUUGCUGGUCCGAUACUGACAUUGAGGCACGAAAGCGUGGGGAGCAAACA
rnacentral:rRNA from 1 species